rnacentral:rRNA from 1 species
CAGGGGCAUAACACUGAGAAAUUGGUACUAAUUCCCAUAAUAUCUGAGACGGCAUCGUUUUGGGUUGAAAACUCCGGUGGUAAAAGAUGGGCAUGCGUUGUAUUAGCUAGUUGGUGAGGUAACGGCUCACCAAGGCGACGAUACAUAGGGGGACUGAGAGGUUAACCCCCCACAUUGGUACUGAGACACGGACCAAACUCCUACGGGAGGCAGCAGUGAGGAAUAUUGGUCAAUGGACGCAAGUCUGAACCAGCCAUGCCGCGUGCAGGAAGACGGCUCUAUGAGUUGUAAACUGCUUUUGUACGAGGGUAAAUGCAGGUACGUGUAUCUGUUUGAAAGUAUCGUACGAAUAAGGAUCGGCUAACUCCGUGCCAGCAGCCGCGGUAAUACGGAGGAUCCAAGCGUUAUCCGGAUUUAUUGGGUUUAAAGGGUGCGUAGGCGGUUUUAUAAGUUAGAGGUGAAAUCUCGGGGCUCAACUCCGAAAUUGCCUCUAAUACUGUAGGACUAGAGAGUAGUUGCAGUAGGCGGAAUGUAUGGUGUAGCGGUGAAAUGCUUAGAGAUCAUACAGAACACCGAUUGCGAAGGCAGCUUACCAAACUAUAUCUGACGUUGAGGCACGAAAGCGUGGGGAGCAAACAGGAUUAGAUACCCUGGUAGUCCACGCAGUAAACGAUAAUAACUCGUUGUCGGCGAUACACAGUCGGUGACUAAG